rnacentral:pre_miRNA from 9 species
CGAUACUAGCGUAAAAGUUAAGUCAAAUUUGUAUGGAGUGGAACUUUUGCCUACGUUUGCCCCUAGCUAGGGACGCUGUUCCAACUGCAUACAAAUUCGAGUUAACUUUUACGAUAUCGA